AAGGCAAAGCCGCGAGGCAGAGCGAAUCUCAAAAAGCCGUCCCAGUUCGGAUUGCAGGCUGCAACCCGCCUACAUGAAGCUGGAAUCGCUAGUAAUCGCGAAUCAGCAUGUCGCGGUGAAUACGUUCCCGGGUCUUGUACACACCGCCCGUCACACCAUGGGAGUUGGAAAUGCCCGAAGUCAGUGACCCAACCGAAAGGAGGGAGCUGCCGAAGGCAGGUUCGAUAACUGGGGUGAAGUCGUAACAAGGUAUC
rnacentral:rRNA from 1 species